GACGAACGCUGGAGGCGUGCUUAACACAUGCAAGUCGAACGGAAAGGCCCUGCUUUUGUGGGGUGCUCGAGUGGCGAACGGGUGAGUAACACGUGAGUAACCUGCCCUUGACUUUGGGAUAACUUCAGGAAACUGGGGCUAAUACCGGAUAGGAGCUCCUGCUGCAUGGUGGGGGUUGGAAAGUUUCGGCGGUUGGGGAUGGACUCGCGGCUUAUCAGCUUGUUGGUGGGGUAGUGGCUUACCAAGGCUUUGACGGGUAGCCGGCCUGAGAGGGUGACCGGCCACAUUGGGACUGAGAUACGGCCCAGACUCCUACGGGAGGCAGCAGUGGGGAAUAUUGCACAAUGGGCGGAAGCCUGAUGCAGCAACGCCGCGUGCGGGAUGACGGCCUUCGGGUUGUAAACCGCUUUCGCCUGUGACGAAGCGUGAGUGACGGUAAUGGGUAAAGAAGCACCGGCUAACUACGGG
rnacentral:rRNA from 1 species